CAAGAACUAAAGCCUUAUAGCAAAGCAAAACAUGUAUCAAUCCACAACAAUGUUAUCUUGAAUGAAUCACCCUAUCUCUCCUCUUCGAAUAAGGAUUGAAGAAAUUAUGCGUUUGCAACCGCGGGGACAAUUUCACUCUCCAACAAACAAUGCAAAAGUCAAUUCAAUUCAUACAAUGUCUAAUAAUUAUAAAUGAAAAUGCGGAAGCACGAAGAUCACUAAGGUCUUU
rnacentral:lncRNA from 1 species